CAUACUUCCCAAUAGGCCAUA
rnacentral:miRNA from 1 species